rnacentral:rRNA from 1 species
UACGUAGGGGGCUAGCGUUGUCCGGAUUUAUUGGGCGUAAAGAGCGUGUAGGCGGCCAGAUAGGUCCGCUGUGAAAACUCGAGGCUCAACCUCGAGAUGUCGGCGGAAACCAUCUGGCUAGAGUCCGGAAGAGGAGAGUGGAAUUCCUGGUGUAGCGGUGAAAUGCGCAGAUAUCAGGAAGAACACCCGUGGCGAAGGCGGCUCUCUGGGACGGUACUGACGCUGAGACGCGAAAGCGUGGGGAGCGAACAGG